GUACUAAGGUAGCAUAAUCAAUUGUCUUUUAAUUGAAGAAUGGAAUGAAAGAAUUAAUGAAAUAUAUACUGUCUCAAUUAUAAAAAUUAAUUUAAAUUUUUAGUUAAAAUGCUAAAUUUAAAUUAUGGGACGAUAAGACCCUAUAGAAUUUUAUAUUAAAUUAUUUAUAAUAAUUAAUUAUUAAAUUAUUAUAAAUAAUUUAAUAUUUAAUUGGGAGGAUUUAUAAAUUUAAUAAACUUUAUAUUAAUAAUUAAACUUUGAUUUAAGAAAAUUUAAUUUGAUAUAGUAGUAUUAAUUAAGAAAAAAAAUUACCUUAGGGAUAACAGCGUAAUAUCUUUUUAAAGUACAAAUUAAUAA
rnacentral:rRNA from 1 species